AGCCAGAGGUGCUUGCUGUCCAUCCCAACCUCAUUUGGAAUAUUUCUGUGGCUCAGAUUCAGUGAACUCCAAACACGUGGACCAGUGCUCCUGUGGCCAUCACACUACGUCAAGGGCUGGACUUGGCUUUAGAAUCCUUGCUCCAAAGACCACUGCUGUCAAAGAAAGAACAAGCAGACAUCCCACCACAGGAGGUAAACAAAGAGCUCUCAGUCAGAGAGUUGGGGAAAAGGAAGACAGGCACCACUCUAAGGAAAAGGAAUCCCAUUUUUCCUUUUUUUCUUUCCUCUUUUUUUUCUUUUUAGGGCCAUGCCUGCAGCAUAUGGAAGUUCGUGAGCUAAAGGUUGAAUUGGAGCUGCAGCUUCUAGCCUACACCAUAGCCACAGCAAUGCCAGAUCCAAGCUGUGCUGCAGCUGGUNAGCCUACACCAUAGCCACAGCAAUGCCAGAUCCAAGCUACGCUGCAGCUGGUAGCAACACCAGACCCUUAACCCACUGAGCAAGGCCAGGGAUCAAACCCACGUCCUCACAGAGAUAAUGUCAGGUCCUUAACCCACUGAGCCACAAUGGGAACUCCCUCUGCUUCUGCUCUUGUAUCUCUGGAUGAGCGAGUUAAGCCAAGGUCUUUUGUAAAGAUCUAGCCUCUUUCCCCAAAGGCAUGUCUGAACGUGCUGGUUUUCAGACUUUCAUUUGUAGUAGGAAAUAGGGUACCAUAUUUUGACCUGCUAAGUUAAAUUCCCCCAAAUUUAAAACUGAAAAAAAUAAAAUAAAAUAAAACUGAAAGCUAUUCCUUGGCAUUUAAGAGUCAUGAUUGACUCUUAGUAGCAUGGGAUUCAUGAAGUAGGUUCUUCCUCAGGAGCGUGCAGGGACAAGGGAUGUUUGGUAGAACAGGAUUUGAGUAUUUUUGGAUUCCUGGUUAUUAUGCUAUGUAAAAUGCAUCAAUCUUAUCUUAGUCGCUGUCAAUAUUGUCAAAGUUAUAAAAUUAUCUUGUAUAUUUCAGGGUUAAUAAAAUAUAGAUUUUAUCUUAACAUAGGUUGGUAAAAAAUGGUGGUAGUUAUGUAAUCCCAUGAUGGUGGUUGGGCAGGUAGAGAUUAUAAAUAAAUAGGUUUUUGGUGGAUGGGUUUAUAGAAACAAAAUCUAUUUGUUAUAUAGCCCAAGGGCUUUUCCCCUCCUUUCCUGAAAGUGCGGUUAAUGGGAAUAGAUAGUUUCCCAGUAUCAGAUGCAUUUUAGACUGGAAUUCUGCAUAGAUUAUAAAGUGUGGUGAGGUGGAAAGGGAACAGGAUUGAGAGCCAAGAAACCUGGAUUUCUCUCAUCAACUCAUUUUGUGAGUUGGCAUAAGGGACAAUAUUUGGGUCAGGGUCCCCAUCUGCACAGUGGAUUAAUUGGCUAUCAUUUCUAUAUUGCUUUCCCCUUCAAGUAUGCUAUGCCUGUCCCUAUUUGAAGGAGAGAACAGCUUAGACUGAAAUAUGCUUGCUGGAGAAAAGACUGGAUUUCAGAAAUGGACAAUUUUGGAGUUCCCGUUGUGGGUCCGCAGGUUAUAAAUCUGACUAAUACCCAUGAGGAUGUAGGUUCAAUCCCUGGCCUUGCUCAGUGGGUUAAGGAUCUGGUGUUAUUGCAAGCUGUGGUGUAGUAUGCAGGUGCGGCUUGGAUCUGGCAUUGCUGUGGCUGUGGCAAAGGCUGGCAGCUGCACCUCCAAUUCAACCCCUAGCCUUGGGAACUUCCACGUGCUGCAGGUGUGGCUGUAAAAAGAAAAUAAUAAAGGA
rnacentral:lncRNA from 1 species